AGAGUUUGAUCGUGGCUCAGGAUGAACGCUGGCGGCGUGCCUAAUACAUGCAAGUCGAGCGGGAUCCCCUGGAUUCGUCUGGGGGUGAGAGCGGCGGACGGGUGAGUAACACGUAGGCGACCUGCCCCGAAGACAGGGAUAACCAUCGGAAACGGUGGCUAAUACUUGAUACGCUCGGUAAUUCGUUUUGCCGAGCAAAGCUCCGGCGCUUCGGGAUGGGCCUGCGGCCUAUCAGCUAGUUGGUAGGGUAACGGCCUACCAAGGCUAAGACGGGUAGGGGGCGUGAGAGCGUGAUCCCCCACAAUGGCACUGAGACACGGGCCAUACUCCUACGGGAGGCAGCAGUCAGGGAUAUUGCACAAUGGGCGAAAGCUUGAUGCAGCGACGCCGCGUGGGCGAUGAAGGCCUUCGGGUUGUAAAGCCCUUUUUCUGGGGGAAGAGACAAGGACGGUACCCCAGGAAUAAGCGCCGGCUAACUACGUGCCAGCAGCCGCGGUAAAACGUAGGGCGCAAGCGUUAUCCGGAUUCACUGGGCGUAAAGUGCGUUGAGGCGGCUCCGUAAGUUGGACGUUAAAGCCCCCGGCCUAACUGGGGGAGGUCGUUCAAUACUGCGGAGCUUGAGGGCAGCAGAGGCAGGUGGAAUUCCCGGUGUAGUAGUGAAAUGCGUAGAUAUCGGGAGGAACACCCGUGGCGAAGGCGGCCUGCUGGGCUGCUCCUGACGCUGAAGGCGAAAGCUAGGGGAGCAAACGGGAUUAGAAACCCCGGUAGUCCUAGCUGUAAACGAUGGAUGCUGGGCGUGGGGGGUAUAGACUCCCUCCGUGCCGAAGCUAACGCGUUAAGCAUCCCGCCUGGGGACUACGGCCGCAAGGCUAAAACUCAAACGAAUUGACGGGUCCCCGCACAAGCAGCGGAGCGUGUGGUUCAAUUCGAUUUACACGAAGAACCUUACCUGGGUUUGACAUGUAGGUAGUAGUGAAGCGAAAGCGGAACGACCUUUCGGGGAGCCUACACAGGUGCUGCAUGGCUGUCGUCAGCUCGUGCCGUGAGGUGUCGGGUUAAGUCCCGUAACGAGCGCAACCCUCGCCCUUAGUUACAAGUGUCUAGGGGGACUGCCGGCGACAAGCCGGAGGAAGGUGAGGAUGACGUCAAGUCAGCAUGGCCUUUAUAUCCAGGGCUACACACACGCUACAAUGGCCGGUACAAUGGGUUGCCA
rnacentral:rRNA from 1 species